UUGCCUUACCACCAACACCAGUAUGACAGCUGAAUCGAGGCCAAAGGGCUUUUGAAGUCACCACUGGCAUGGUAAAGCCAGAAUACUUCAAUUAAAAAAAAAAAAAUCUGAAAAGAUCAAUAUAGAAAGACUGAGACCACAGAAAUUAAACCCUUUUAAGAUUAACUUAAAAGAAUAGAACACAAUUGGAACAUGCACUGUGAAGUCACUACAGACAAUACACUGUGUAGUGUGUUUACACAAGUAGUCAGGGAACAAAGCAAUUGGUGCAAGUUUUGUGAUGUAUCAUCACUCAGUAUGAGGUUUCAAGUGAACACCACCCUGGAUCAUUCCAGCACUGUCCAGGAUGACUGAACUGUGGAGGAAAGCACAGUCUGUGCCUCCACAUUAUCAGGAAGACGGCCAAAGGACACUUCCCACCCACAAAAGGAUGAACUGGGAGUAGUUUACAUGGCUUUCUCUGACUGAAUCCUGCCUCCAUUCUGCCUCCAAGGCCCAGAAAAGUUCUGCUACUGACUCCAAGGAGGAGCAACAAUUUCUGGCUCCUGCUGUUUCCCUCUGCUUCUGCUUUGCAAUUCCGCUUGCCUCCUUCUCUGGCCCACAUCUUAUGGGCUACUGUAUUUCCAAGUGUGCUCCUGCCUCAGUCUUCUUCCGGCCACACUCCCUGCUCCCCUCAGGGUUGCUCUUCUAUAAUGAACAGAGGAAUAGCAUGAAAAGACAAAUUCAGGAUAAAAACUUGGCAAACCUUGCAGGCAAAGAUAACUUAGCUUGUAAACAGACUUUCACGGUGAUGGAAUAACCCUAAAGUCUAAAAUUAAACUAAUAAAUAAGAACGAUGCAACCUGUAA